rfam:Schistosoma rodhaini strain Burundi genome assembly, scaffold: SROB_scaffold0001285
ACACUGCUGAGGAGUCCCAAAAUAGGACGUAAUGGCCGUCCAGUGC